GGUUAAGCGACUAAGCGUACACGGUGGAUGCCCUGGCAGUCAGAGGCGAUGAAGGACGUGCUAAUCUGCGAUAAGCGUCGGUGAGGUGAUAUGAACCGUUAUAACCGGCGAUUUCCGAAUGGGGAAACCCAGUGUGUUUCGACACACUAUCAUUAACUGAAUCCAUAGGUUAAUGAGGCGAACCGGGGGAACUGAAACAUCUAAGUACCCCGAGGAAAAGAAAUCAACCGAGAUUCCCCCAGUAGCGGCGAGCGAACGGGGAGGAGCCCAGAGCCUGAAUCAGUGUGUGUGUUAGUGGAAGCGUCUGGAAAGGCGCGCGAUACAGGGUGACAGCCCCGUACACAAAAAUGCACAUAUUGUGAGCUCGAUGAGUAGGGCGGGACACGUGGUAUCCUGUCUGAAUAUGGGGGGACCAUCCUCCAAGGCUAAAUACUCCUGACUGACCGAUAGUGAACCAGUACCGUGAGGGAAAGGCGAAAAGAACCCCGGCGAGGGGAGUGAAAAAGAACCUGAAACCGUGUACGUACAAGCAGUGGGAGCCUCUUAAUGGGGUGACUGCGUACCUUUUGUAUAAUGGGUCAGCGACUUAUAUUCUGUAGCAAGGUUAACCGAAUAGGGGAGCCGAAGGGAAACCGAGUCUUAACUGGGCGUUAAGUUGCAGGGUAUAGACCCGAAACCCGGUGAUCUAGCCAUGGGCAGGUUGAAGGUUGGGUAACACUAACUGGAGGACCGAACCGACUAAUGUUGAAAAAUUAGCGGAUGACUUGUGGCUGGGGGUGAAAGGCCAAUCAAACCGGGAGAUAGCUGGUUCUCCCCGAAAGCUAUUUAGGUAGCGCCUCGUGAAUUCAUCUCCGGGGGUAGAGCACUGUUUCGGCAAGGGGGUCAUCCCGACUUACCAACCCGAUGCAAACUGCGAAUACCGGAGAAUGUUAUCACGGGAGACACACGGCGGGUGCUAACGUCCGUCGUGAAGAGGGAAACAACCCAGACCGCCAGCUAAGGUCCCAAAGUCAUGGUUAAGUGGGAAACGAUGUGGGAAGGCCCAGACAGCCAGGAUGUUGGCUUAGAAGCAGCCAUCAUUUAAAGAAAGCGUAAUAGCUCACUGGUCGAGUCGGCCUGCGCGGAAGAUGUAACGGGGCUAAACCAUGCACCGAAGCUGCGGCAGCGACGCUUAUGCGUUGUUGGGUAGGGGAGCGUUCUGUAAGCCUGUGAAGGUGUGCUGUGAGGCAUGCUGGAGGUAUCAGAAGUGCGAAUGCUGACAUAAGUAACGAUAAAGCGGGUGAAAAGCCCGCUCGCCGGAAGACCAAGGGUUCCUGUCCAACGUUAAUCGGGGCAGGGUGAGUCGACCCCUAAGGCGAGGCCGAAAGGCGUAGUCGAUGGGAAACAGGUUAAUAUUCCUGUACUUGGUGUUACUGCGAAGGGGGGACGGAGAAGGCUAUGUUGGCCGGGCGACGGUUGUCCCGGUUUAAGCGUGUAGGCUGGUUUUCCAGGCAAAUCCGGAAAACCAAGGCUGAGGCGUGAUGACGAGGCACUACGGUGCUGAAGCAACAAAUGCCCUGCUUCCAGGAAAAGCCUCUAAGCAUCAGGUAACAUCAAAUCGUACCCCAAACCGACACAGGUGGUCAGGUAGAGAAUACCAAGGCGCUUGAGAGAACUCGGGUGAAGGAACUAGGCAAAAUGGUGCCGUAACUUCGGGAGAAGGCACGCUGAUAUGUAGGUGAAGCGACUUGCUCGUGGAGCUGAAAUCAGUCGAAGAUACCAGCUGGCUGCAACUGUUUAUUAAAAACACAGCACUGUGCAAACACGAAAGUGGACGUAUACGGUGUGACGCCUGCCCGGUGCCGGAAGGUUAAUUGAUGGGGUUAGCGGUAACGCGAAGCUCUUGAUCGAAGCCCCGGUAAACGGCGGCCGUAACUAUAACGGUCCUAAGGUAGCGAAAUUCCUUGUCGGGUAAGUUCCGACCUGCACGAAUGGCGUAAUGAUGGCCAGGCUGUCUCCACCCGAGACUCAGUGAAAUUGAACUCGCUGUGAAGAUGCAGUGUACCCGCGGCAAGACGGAAAGACCCCGUGAACCUUUACUAUAGCUUGACACUGAACAUUGAGCCUUGAUGUGUAGGAUAGGUGGGAGGCUUUGAAGUGUGGACGCCAGUCUGCAUGGAGCCGACCUUG
rnacentral:rRNA from 1 species